rnacentral:lncRNA from 1 species
AGAGUUGUUGUGAUAUGUUAACAUCUCUCUCUCUUUCUCUCUCUCUCUCUCUCUCUCUCUCUCUCCCUCUCUCUCUCUCUCUCUGCGUGUUUGUAUAUAGAAAGGAAGGUUUUGAUCGGAAGAAAUAAAAAAGAGUGAUGGUAGUUGUUGGUGUUGUUGUGUGAUGACGGGUCGAAGGUCACCGGAGCAGUUUUUGUUUUCGCUCGAAAUAGUGUGAGGAAGGAGGAAUAUGUUUGGCAUGAAAACUGUUGCAGUGGGUUGUGUUCAAUGGAAGAGUGAGGUUGAUAUGGUGGAAAAAGGAUGGACGCGCUUUGUUGUUAACAAGGUUGAUGAUGAUG